CCCUAUGGGGCGCAGCAGUCCUCAUAAGGCUGAAUAGAAAUAUCAAAAGUGUCGAUUUUACGCGAGAGGAUGAUGACCUCAUCCUUGUCCAUGCCGAUAAGGGGUCUGAAUACGGGCAUGGAUACGGAGGCAUCCGUGCAGGCGAUGGCAUACAUCGUUUGGCUGGCCACCUGCCCGACGCUUUCACCGGUAAUUAGAGCGCCGCAGGUUUCUUUACCGGCGAUGAUCUCGGCAAUUUUCAUCAUCAUCCGGCGCAUGAUCAGCGUAAAAAGUUCUUCCGGGCAGUUUUUCCUGAUUUCUUCCGGUAUGGCGGUGAAGGGUACCACGAAAAGGCUUAUUCUUCCGCUGUAAAGGGCAACUUUUUUCAACAGGCUGUGCACUUUCAUCUCCGCUUUCGGGCUGGUAAACGGCGGGGGAGC
rnacentral:rRNA from 1 species